GUUCUCCAUGAAUACUCGGAGUACUAUAUUAUGAAGUUCUCUGCAUUUGUUUUUCAACAAAAUAAAGUAUGCAUUAACUUCAUGCAUACGUUUGCAUGUGUUAACGUUAUGAUUAUCUCACACGUGAUCAGCAGACGGAUCAUCACGAGCCAUUCAAAGACAUUGAAUUUUUGAUAAAGUAGUAGUGGUAGUAGUAGUAGUGGGGGUUGAGGCAUUAUUUUUAAGUAGAACGGUGGCUCACAGACCCUCAACCACCAAUAUCAUAAGUUUUGUAGCUACUCUUCAUGCGCAAUUAUAGGGACGUUACUUUCACCUAACAAAAAAACAAGAGUCAGAAAACGAUUGAUGCCUCUGGCUUCUAUAAAUGCGAUCGAUCUUUUAGCUAGCUCCAACAUGCAGCAUUCAUCGAUCUGAGGUCUACCGGCUUCAAGCAUCACGCCAUUUUACGAAAGAAGCAAUCAAAGAAGAUCAGAAAUCACCAUGUAAAAGCUUCCAUAAAACUCAUGAUGAUCAUCAUCAUGAAGAUCACUCAGCACAGGAAAGGAGCAAGGAAUAAGAUCAUGAUUUGGACUAUUCAUUUGAGCAAGAUAUCAUGGGCAACUUAUGUUAACAAAGGGCGACAACAGUACGCUAUUCAAUAACCUCGACCUCGGACCUUCAUCUGAGGUGUGCGUAGGGCCUUCGGUGCACCGGAGUCGAACCUAAUUCACUGCACGACGUUAUUGUAACAAUAUCAUUAAUGUUCUUCUUACAAUAUUCUAUCAAUCUUGGUUAAUUGGCCGGGACGUCCACGCAGCUAAAAAGGAAAUAAUUAUUAGAGACAAUUAGCAAAAAAUAUUCAGCCCUUAUAAAUUUGCAUGCUCACUACUGAUGAGCGAGCCUCGAAUCAUGCAUGUACUCAAAUAAUCGUAGCUGCAUGUGUUUGAAUUUCCUCUUUCAUGUAUAUAUAUUAAUCUGUUUGAUUAAUCAGAAGCUAGAAGUCCCUUUUAUCUCCGACGGAGAUCAGAAACUUAGCAAAUGAUGAUCUAAAUUGUAGCCAUCAUUUUUACAGUGUUUGCUG